AUAUUAAUAAGCGGAGGAAAAGAAACUAACAAGGAUUCCCCUAGUAACGGCGAGUGAAGCGGGAACAGCUCAAGGUGAAAACCGGCGGCCCAAGCGGGUCGCCGGGUUGUAAGCUAGAGAUGCGAGGCCAGCCAAGGCCUGGGUAUAAAUCCUUUGGAACAGGGUGUCAGAGAGGGUGAGAAUCCCGUCUAUGACUCGGAGUCCUUGGCGUACGGUCCGUAUUCAACGAGUCGAGUUGCUCGGGAUUGCAGCUCUAAAUGGGAGGUAAAUUUCUUCUAAAGCUAAAUACUUGCGAGAGACCGAUAGCGCACAAGUA
rnacentral:rRNA from 1 species